CAAUAUACUCUGUUUUCUUCCACUUCUAUAUCAGCUGAGAAGAGGAAGGGAGAAAAUGUAGUAAGUUGGUAAGACAGUCUUGCUUGUUUGCUACAUCAAAAUGUUACGUUUCCUGAGGUGACUAUUUCCAGCAUAAAUGAACUGCAGGUAGCACGUGUCCAACUAUUGACCUGUGAGUGGCUGCUCAUCUCAAUGUCUUCACCCAUCAGCUGAGCCCUGUAGCCAGCCUGUACUUCAGAUGUUUAUGCCAGGGGACGAGUAAUUUGGAAUUGAUCUUUCUAUCCAAAACUAGACUCCAGAUCAGUAAGGAAAGGUAGUAUUAAUAAUAUUAAACGUGCAAGAGCAGUAAUGGUUAGCAUUGAGCCUGGAGUUGGGCACUGGAUCAGGAACAUGGGGCAGGGAAGUAUUGGUGUAUUUUUGAAACUGGAAAACUCACCUUAGCUCAAGUCUAUUGAAGUGAAUUUAGGAUGAGAUUUUUUUCUGGAGAACUAACAAGAGAACACACAGCCUUGGGAAGGGCCAAGAUACAUAUGGUGUGGAGGUAAACACCUAUUUUUGUCACAGAAAGGUUGAGCAAUUCAUCUCAGCCUUCUAGUCUCCUGGCAACUGUGAAGAACAGACCAUACUAGGACCACUAUUUUAAUUAAUCUAAUUGCAGGUCCUUUCUGUCCUCCUCCUUCAGUCAGCCUCCUGGGAGAUGGAAAAGCCUUUUGAGCACGUCAUCUGCAGGAUUUGGAAACUCAGCUUAGCUGUGCUGUAGUUACAUGUUGCUUGGGGCUGUGCAGGACUUGUGCUUUGCAUUUCUUUCCCAGAAGCAAGGCAUUACUUUGGAGGGUUUUCUUUGUUGUUGUUUUUUAGGGAGAGGGUGGCUAUAUUAAAAUUAAUUUGUUGCAUUCACUUCACAACUAAAAAAAAGGGUCCAGUUGUAUGUUACCUCAAAAUAGGAAUGCUUUACAGUUCAGAUCUCUUUCCUUGUCUACCUCUCUGCCCGCCCACACUGUUUAAGUUUCUCUAAAGGUCUCUGCUCCUAUCUAUUCACGAGAAGUUCUUUCUUGCCUAUGUAGAUACGCAAUAUGUUUUAUGUGCAAAACAUGUGAUUAAGAAACAUCUACUCCGAUCAUGAGGAAUAUCACCUGUUUUCAAUGCUCUAGAAAAAGUAUUUUCUAACUUGCUCACUCAUCAAGGG
rnacentral:lncRNA from 1 species